GGCCAAACUACCCUACAGACCGCGAUAACCUCGGGAAACUGAGGCCAAUAGCGGGAUAUAACUCUCAGGCUGGAGUGCCGAGAGUUAGAAACGUUCCGGCGCUGUAGGAUGUGGCUGCGGCCGAUUAGGUAGAUGGUGGGGUAACGGCCCACCAUGCCGAUAAUCGGUACAGGUUGUGAGAGCAAGAGCCUGGAGACGGUAUCUGAGACAAGAUACCGGGCCCUACGGGGCGCAGCAGGCGCGAAACCUUUACACUGCACGACAGUGCGAUAGGGGGACUCCGAGUGUGAGGGCAUAUAGCCCUCGCUUUUCUGAACCGUAAGGUGGUACAGGAACAAGGACUGGGCAAGA
rnacentral:rRNA from 1 species